GGAAGUAAAAGUCAUAACAAGGUUUCCGUAGGUGAACCUGCGGAAGGAUCAUUAUUGUAUAACCGAGGUGCGAGGGCUGUCGCUGACCCGAAAGGUCGUGCACGCCCGAGUGCCCUCACACACAUCCAUCCCACCCCUAAGUGCACCACCGCGUGGGUCCCCCUUUGGCUUGUUCGGAGGGGGGCUUACGUUUUCACACAAACUUUGUAUGCAGUGUAGAAUGUAUUUUUUGUUUUUGCGAUCACGCAAUCAAUACAACUUUCAACAACGGAUCUCUUGGCUCUC
rnacentral:misc_RNA from 1 species